GACAAAUAAAGUAAUUUUUAAUAGAAUUCUGAUAAAAUUAUUCAACAUUGGCUUUUCGAUUCUUCUUCCGACAUUAGGAAUUUACGACAAUUCCCUGGCCGUUUUCCGCCACCAUGUUGACAGGGAGACUGUCUCUUUUAUUUUCAAAGAAAAAACACUUUAUUCGAGUGUUUUUGUAUGCAAGAAGUGUACUGAUCUACGCUGUAUGGUACCUUACAACAACUGUCCAGGCGAUUUCAUUUCUAGGUACAGCCUGCACGACAAGAUCAAGGUGUACACCAUGAUUUUCAAGUUUUUAAUAACCGCCAAAGGAACAGACUGGAGUUUCCAUCAAUAGGCAGUCAAAAUGUACAACCUAAGUCAACACUUGGCAGCAAAUCUUUUGAUCCAGAUGCACUAGAAGACAACUGUGAUGCUGAAAACAUCUAGCUGGGCUGAGAAUCACAUCUAUAUUUGAUUCGGCCACGUGUCAACAAGACUGAAAUGUUUAUACUUGAGCUGCUAUUAUAGACCUACAUGUUCAUCAGAAAUUUACCAAAUGAAAGCCACAGAUGGUCAAACGAUUGAAGUUGGGAAAAAAGUGAAGAAAGAUUUGUGUCAGAAUCUCCCUUAAGAUUCUAAGCACUUCUGUAUGAACAGACCUGCAGCAUGCAUGUUUAUGAUAUGCUUUUUUGAGAAACUUUGUUAUACUAAUAAAAUCUGUUUUUCCCCGAUUCAGUGUGCCCUUAUAUGCUUUUACUAAGUUUAAGCUUGCAAAAGUUUAGCAUUGAUACAAGUGAAUUGUCAUUUUUGUCACACCUUUAUCUCUAUUUUUUUUUUCAAUGUUAAAAAUUCCUGUAUGUGUGUUCAGACAGAGGAAAUUUGGAUUGUUAAUUGUCGAUCAGAUUCUUAAUUUACAGAAAUUGGAUUAUAUGUAAUAUCUCAUUAUGUUCCACUUUCCAGUAUAUUUUAAAAGAAAGGGAAAGAUCAGUCCAAGGAUUUUUUUGAUAUAGGCAAACCUUUUACAUUAUCGAUUUGUUAUUUUAAAAAAAGUCAGAGGAAAUUCGGAUGUUUAAUGUGCACCUUU